ensembl:lncRNA
CAUCAUCCAACCAUAUAUAUCACGGUUAAAGCUAGUUCUGUUGUUGGGCGUUAACUGUGUGCAAAGAGGCAUAACUAGUUCAGAUUCAGAUUUCAGUUUUGCUCUUGCAAACUCAUAGUUGUCGACCUCAGGCUAUGACGCCCCUUUCUUAAAAAAACCACAGAGUGUGUUUGUGUUGGCGGUGCUUUACAUUAUUGGUUCUCUCACUCUACCAUUUUUUCACAGCUAGACUCACACACCCAUAUCCACCAUCAUGCCUUAUAGUCAAAUCGACUAGUUUUAUCCCUGGGACUCUUCCACAUGUGUUACCACCACAACCGGCGCAAACCAUGACAGUUACAGACGAGACCACCAGCUUGAAGACGGUGCUCCUGCUGUUCUUCUGCCUCCUCUUCCUCGUCUUGCUCCUCCUCUUCCUCUACAAGAAGCUCAACAAGCAGACGGACGGCGAGUACACCGUCAGCAACAUGGUGCUGGGGGAAGGGGGUCUGCGGGACCGCGGGAGGGAGCUCCUGGACAGCGGGAGGGAGCUCCUGCGGGACGCCUGCCUGACCCACCUGGGGGUCCGCCUCUGGGCCGACCGGGACGACGAGGAGGACUCCGAGUCGGGGGUGGGGCGGGAGGAGUGGGGAGAGGAGGGGGAGGAAGGGGAGGAAGGGGAGGAGCAGGAGGGGGACAGCCGGGGGAGCGCGAGCGACGAGGACGAGGACGAAGAGGAGGAGGAGGAGGAGGAGGAGGAGGAGGAGGAGGGGAGGAAAGGCGAAGACGUGCCGGACAGCCGCGCCAAUGUACCGAACGACAAAAACCCGGCCUGUGAAAACACCCAACUGAUCGUGGUGGUGGAGGAGGUGGAGGAGAAGGCCGGGAGCAAUGAGGAAGAGGAGCAGGGGCCCGGCUUGAUGAUAAACCUCAAGCAGUUCUCCGGGGGGGCCAUGUGGUCGGAGGACGAUAAAGAUGACGGCACCAUCAUCGACCUGACAGUGUUGUAAGACACAAAACAACCAUGGGGGGGACGGGGGACAUGUCAAGGUCCUAGACAUGCAGACUUCCUCCAAGCAGCUAUCGAGUGAAGCCAGGGGUUCAUGACCUUCUGCCCCCUCCUAUCUCCUCCUCCUACCAAAGACCUCCCCAAAAUGUGCCAAUAUCUCAUAACAUGUUCAUCCAAAAGGCAAAUACAGCAUAGAUGUUUUUGUUAAUAUAAUCAGGGAAGUAUUGGUGCAAUUAAAGGCUGGUAGGUCAACAUGAGCUUUCUGCUUGACGCAUGCAUUUUGAAAAAUAAAAAUUAUUGAGCAAUUUCCUCGUUUAGCCUCAUAGCUGAAGCACCGGGCAGCGUAGUGGCGCCCCCUUGUGGCCCGGAUGCCUCACUUUGCAGCUUGUGUUCAUAUAAGUCCAACGCACUUCAGGAAGGUUUAAUAUGACUAUUUACAAUUCGAGUUAUGUAACGGCUUUGUAAAUGCAAAUGUGAAUAAAUUACUUUGCUACGGAGUUUUUUGUGCUUCGAGUCAUUUAAAAGAGUUGUCCUGUGGAAAUACAAAGCUUAGCAUAACAUCUGCAAAUGAUCAACGUGCUACCAGGAAGUGGA